GGUAGAAGCAAAAAUUCAAAUGAGAACUUUGAUGGCGAAAGAGGGGAAAUGUUCCAUGUGAACGACACUUACAUAUGGAUUGGUCAAUCCUAAGGGUCUGGGGAUCGCCGACAGUUAGCACGUGUGACACGUACUCCGAAAGGGAAUCGGGUUAAAAUUCCUGAAGUUGGACGUGAGGGUUGAUGCCAACGUUAGGAAGUGUAGAGAUGUAGAUGGGAACCUCGAUAAAAGUUUUCUUAUUUGUUUAAUAGCCUACCCUCCCUGGAAUCGGCUCAGCAAGAGGUAGGGUCCAGCGGCUUAAAGAGCACCGCAAGUAGAAUGGUAUAUGAUGCGCUCCUGGUAGCCCUUCAAAAUCUGGAGGAAUGAAUGUUAUCCACGCUCGGUCAUACUCAUAAUCGCAUAAGGUCUCCAAGGUGAACAACCUCUUGUC
rnacentral:rRNA from 1 species